UACGUAGGUGGCAAGCGUUGUCCGGAUUUACUGGGCGUAAAGAGCGCGCAGGCGGUCGAAUAAGUCGAAUGUGAAAGCCCCCGGCUUAACUGGGGAGGGUCAUUCGAUACUGCUCGACUUGAAGGCAGGAGAGGGUAGUGGAAUUCCCGGUGUAGUGGUGAAAUGCGUAGAUAUCUGGAGGAAUACCGGUGGCGAAGGCGGCAUCCUGGACCGGCAUUGACGCUGAUGAGCGAAAGCUAGGGGAGCAAACGGG
rnacentral:rRNA from 1 species